UAUUAUAGGAUGCUGACUUCAAGGAGCCUGUUAGAAAGUUCACUCAGGAAGAAAUGAUCAAACUAAAACUACAGUACUACAAUGCAGAUGUCCAUAGGAGUGCCUUUGUUCUACCCCAGUUUGCCAGAAAGGUUUUAAAAGGAGAAAGUAUAGAAAAUGGACCAAGUAACAACCAGUAACCAUGACAUAUAUGAAAAUAA